rnacentral:rRNA from 1 species
CUGCAACUCGCCUGUAUGAAGUCGGAAUUGCUAGUAAUCGCGGAUCAGCAUGCCGCGGUGAAUACGUUCCCGGGCCUUGUACACACCGCCCGUCACACCAUGAGAGCCGGGAACACCCGAAGUCCGUAGUCUAACCCGCAAGGGAGGGCGCGGCCGAAGGUGGGUUUGGUAAUUGGGGUGAAGUCGUAACAAGGUACC